ACCCGGCUGACGAGUCCUAAAUAAGACGAAACAUACGUCCUGGAU
rfam:Schistosoma mansoni strain Puerto Rico chromosome 3, complete genome